UACAGAGGUCUCAAGCGUUGUUCGGAUUUAUUGGGCGUAAAGGGUGUGUAGGUGGCGCGCUAAGUCGGGUGUGAAAUUUCGGAGCUUAACUCCGAAACUGCAUUCGAUACUGGCGUGCUUGAGGACUGGAGAGGAGACUGGAAUUCAUGGUGUAGCAGUGAAAUGCGUAGAGAUCAUGAGGAAGACCAGUGGCGAAGGCGGGUCUCUGGACAGUUCCUGACACUGAGGCGCGAAAGCUAGGGGAGCGAACGGG
rnacentral:rRNA from 1 species